CCUACGGGUGGCAGCAGUGAGGAAUAUUGGUCAAUGGACGAGAGUCUGAACCAGCCAAGCCGCGUGCAGGAAGACUGCCCUAUGAGUUGUAAACUGCUUUUGUAUGAGGGUAAACGGAUACACGCGUAUGUGUCUGAAAGUAUCAUACGAAUAAGGAUCGGCUAACUCCGUGCCAGCAGCCGCGGUAAUACGGAGGAUUCAAGCGUUAUCCGGAUUUAUUGGGUUUAAAGGGAGCGUAGGCGGUCGGAUAAGUUAGAGGUGAAAGCUCGAGGCUCAACUUUGGAAUUGCCGUUGAUACUGUUCGUCUAGAGAAUAGUUGAGGUAGGCGGAAUGUAUGGUGUAGCGGUGAAAUGCUUAGAGAUCAUACAGAACCCCGAUUGCGAAGGCAGCUUAC
rnacentral:rRNA from 1 species